UUUUAACCAUAUGAUCCAUUGUUUUAUAAAUACACCAUUUUUAAAUAUAAUUUAGCUUUUUUGUUUUAAUCUUUCAUGCCAUAAAAGGUUUGAACUAUUUAACAAAAUUGAUUAAUUUUUUUAAAUCUAAAAUGCCUACUAACUAUGUUGGAGGGGCAAAUUCAAUAUAGUGAUGUAUUUGUAAACAAUUGAUUAUAUUUUUAAUUUUAAGAAGAAUUUUUUACAACUAUAUAAAGGACAAUAAUAUUUAAUAGAUGCAAAAAUAAUUCAUACUUUAAAAAUAUAAAUUAUUAAAAUCAUUUUUUGAAUACGAAAGAAGAAGUAUGGUAAAAAUUGUCAAGUUUGUUUAUAUUGUAAUUAUUUUCAUUUCUUUAUUGCCGAUGCCAUCCAACUGUGGAAGAAGAAUUGCUAAAUGUGUAAAAGAUGAUAAUUGUUACAGUCUGCAUUAUUUGUGCCCGCCGCCAAAGAUAAUAAAGUGUGUCAAGAGACUUUGCGGAUGUGCCAGCGUGACCGCUCUCAUCUAUUAUGUUCCCGAAUAGUUCCGUAUUAGUUUCUUAUCAAUACACUUAUCAACUUUCUCACCGUCAAUUCAUAUUUCUCUUAGAUUUUAAUUUAAUAUUAAUCUCAUAUAUGUCAUUCAAUUUAAAAAAAUAUAUAAAAAAUAAAAUUUUCAAUAA